rnacentral:rRNA from 1 species
UGGGGAAUCUUGGACAAUGGGCGAAAGCCUGAUCCAGCAAUGCCGCGUGCGUGAAGAAGGCCUUCGGGUUGUAAAGCGCUUUUGUCGGGGAGGAAAUCCUAGUCUCUAAUAAAGGCUGGGGAUGACAGUACCCGAAGAAUAAGGACCGGCUAACUACGUGC